rnacentral:rRNA from 1 species
AGAGUUUGAUCCUGGCUCAGGACGAACGCUGGCGGCGUGCUUAACACAUGCAAGUCGAACGCUGAUCCAUCUUCGGGUGGUGAUGAGUGGCGAACGGGUGAGUAACACGUGGGCAACCUGCCCCCGGCUCUGGGAUAACUCCAAGAAAUUGGGGCUAAUACCGGAUGUUCACUGCUUCCCGCAUGGGUGGUGGUGGAAAGGGUUUCCGGCUGGGGAUGGGCCCGCGGCCUAUCAGCUUGUUGGUGGGGUAGUGGCCUACCAAGGCGACGACGGGUAGCCGGCCUGAGAGGGUGACCGGCCACACUGGGACUGAGACACGGCCCAGACUCCUACGGGAGGCAGCAGUGGGGAAUAUUGCGCAAUGGGCGGAAGCCUGACGCAGCGACGCCGCGUGGGGGAUGACGGCCUUCGGGUUGUAAACCUCUUUCAGCAGGGACGAAGCGCAAGUGACGGUACCUGCAGAAGAAGCACCGGCCAACUACGUGCCAGCAGCCGCGGUAAUACGUAGGGUGCAAGCGUUGUCCGGAAUUAUUGGGCGUAAAGAGCUCGUAGGCGGUUCGUCGCGUCGGCCGUGAAAACCUGAGGCUCAACCUCAGGCCUGCAGUCGAUACGGGCGGACUUGAGUUCGGCAGGGGAGACUGGAAUUCCUGGUGUAGCGGUGAAAUGCGCAGAUAUCAGGAGGAACACCGGUGGCGAAGGCGGGUCUCUGGGCCGAUACUGACGCUGAGGAGCGAAAGCGUGGGGAGCGAACAGGAUUAGAUACCCUAGUAGUCC